UACGAAGGGGGCUAGCGUUGCUCGGAAUCACUGGGCGUAAAGGGUGCGUAGGCGGGUCUUUAAGUCAGGGGUGAAAUCCUGGAGCUCAACUCCAGAACUGCCUUUGAUACUGAAGAUCUUGAGUUCGGGAGAGGUGAGUGGAACUGCGAGUGUAGAGGUGAAAUUCGUAGAUAUUCGCAAGAACACCAGUGGCGAAGGCGGCUCACUGGCCCGAUACUGACGCUGAUGCACGAAAGCGUGGGAGCAACAGG
rnacentral:rRNA from 1 species